UUCUUGUAUGUUGCUUUAUGGUCUACUGUAAUUAUUGCUUAUUUGAACCCCUUUAUUUUUUUUAAUCCUUAGAACAAUUUCAUGGAAGUCCGUAAGCCAGUGUUGGAUCUGAAAGACGUCCCUCCCCCUCCACUCCACAAUGCAUCUCCGCAGCCCCUUGUUCUGGCUUCCCAACCUGCACCUCCUCUCUGCCAGCUCCCUGCUUCAGAUGCUCAACUUUCCCAGCAGCCCCUUCCUCAGCUGCAACCUGGUAGCCCUAAUGUAAGCUUGUGUUCCCACUGUGAAUGCAGUCUGCACAUCCAGCAGCACUCUGGCUUGCUUGUCAGAAUUAUAUAGCAAAACCCUGAAAUUUGUGCAAAAAUGUGCACAGAAAUGGAGCAGCAAGAACCACAGACACCAAAGACAAGAGUUAAAAUUGCCCUCCUUAAAGGAGGUGAAGACAUGUUUAGGCACAGAACUGAAAGUAACCCAUACAAACGCCCUAACAUGAAGACAAAAACGGAUUCUGGCUUAAGGAAGAAAACAUCAGCACAUUUGAACGGAAAUGUGAAAGUAUAUUAGUAUUUGCUAUAAGUAUGAGUAAAUAUUUUGUUGUACAUAUUAAACUGAAUAAGCUAGCAUUGCCAGAACACCGCUUACAUUAAGUGAAAUUUCCUCAUCAAAUGACUACGUACAACCUUUUUUAAGAUUAGUGAAAAAAGUUCUGAGAAAAAAUUUCAAUUUAUUUUAAUCUGUACAUUUUAUCCGUUUUUUUUCUCACCUCAAUUAUAGAGUUCUCUAUAAUGUCACAGCUGCCAGAUGUCCCAAAGUUUGCACAUUACUGUUUGUAAUAUUUUACACACAGUUUUUGAUUUUUAUAUAAUUUUUUGAAUUUUUAGAAAUAGAUGUAAUGUUUUAUUCUCAGGUUUCGUCCGUUUCAUUUUAUACUUUAUAUACGAUCUGUCAUGUUCUCCUGCAUGUCAAAAGUUAACCAUAAAAAAAUUAAGUUAUAAACUUAGUCAUUGUUCAGAUCAGCAACCUUUUGUUUUCCACAGGUGAUCAUUCCAACCACUGAGCACAUUCAAUUUUUAAGUGACAGCUGGUUAGAAUUUUCUAUAAUUUGAGAAUUCUACAGCACUCUAAAAUGUGGAAUAAUGUGGACAUUUUGUGUAGUAUUUAAUUACAUAUCCCUAUAUAGUGGAAUUCUUUUAAGCCCCAUGUAUGUUGAGAUAAUAUUUGGUUUGUUGAUGGGAAUUAGCAGAAAAAAUGAAGUGAAAAUCUGUCAUUUGAUUUCAUUAGAAUAAAAACUCUCCAUUGUAAUAACAAA